UACGUAGGGCGCAAGCGUUAUCCGGAAUUAUUGGGCGUAAAGAGCUCGUAGGCGGUUUGUCGCGUCGGGAGUGAAAACUCAGGGCUUAACCCUGAGCCUGCUUCCGAUACGGGCAGACUAGAGGUAUGCAGGGGAGAACGGAAUUCCUGGUGUAGCGGUGAAAUGCGCAGAUAUCAGGAGGAACACCGGUGGCGAAGGCGGUCUCUGGGCAUUACCUGACGCUGAGGAGCGAAAGUGUGGGGAGCGAACAGG
rnacentral:rRNA from 1 species